CAGCCGCGGUAAUACGUAGGGUGCGAGCGUUAAUCGGAAUUACUGGGCGUAAAGCGUGCGCAGGCGGAUGUUGAGCAGAUGUGAAAUCCCGGGGCUUACUGGAAAUGGCAUUUUGAACUGGCAGUCUAGAGUGUGUCAGAGGGGGGUGGAAUUCCACGUGUAGCAGUGAAAUGCGUAGAGAUGUGGAGGAACACCAAUGGCGAAGGCAGCCCCCUGGGAUAACACUGACGCUCAUGUACGAAAGCGUGGGUAGCAAACAGGAUUAGAUACCCUGGUAGUCCACGCCCUAAACGAUGUCAACUGGUUGUUGGGGGAGUGAAAUCCCUUAGUAACGAAGCUAACGCGUGAAGUUGACCGCCUGGGGAGUACGGUCGCAAGAUUAAAACUCAAAGGAAUUGACGGGGACCCGCACAAGCGGUGGAUGAUGUGGAUUAAUUCGAUGCAACGCGAAAAACCUUACCUACCCUUGACAUGUCCAGAACCCUGCAGAGAUGCGGGGGUGCCCGAAAGGGAAUUGGAACACAGGUGCUGCAUGGCUGUCGUCAGCUCGUGUCGUGAGAUGUUGGGUUAAGUCCCGCAACGAGCGCAACCCUUAUCAUUAGUUGCUACGCAAGGGCACUCUAAUGAGACUGCCGGUGACAAACCGGAGGGAAGGUGGGGAUGACGUCAAGUCCUCAUGGCCCUUAUGGGUAGGGCUUCACACGUCAUACAAUGGUCGGUACAGAGGGUUGCCAAG
rnacentral:rRNA from 1 species